rnacentral:rRNA from 1 species
UACGUAGGGUGCGAGCGUUGUCCGGAAUUAUUGGGCGUAAAGAGCUCGUAGGCGGUUUGUCGCGUCGACUGUGAAAACCUACAGCUUAACUGUGGGCUUGCAGUCGAUACGGGCAGACUUGAGUUCGGUAGGGGAGACUGGAAUUCCUGGUGUAGCGGUGAAAUGCGCAGAUAUCAGGAGGAACACCGGUGGCGAAGGCGGGUCCCUGGGCCGAUACUGACGCUGAGGAGCGAAAGCGUGGGGAGCGAACAGG